UCCCCGAUUUCCGGGGCAGUCUCCCUAGAGUUCUCGACAUGUCAAGGCCAGGUAAGGUUCUUCGCGUUGCAUCGAAUUAAACCACAUACUCCACCGCUUGUGCGGGCCCCCGUCAAUUCCUUUGAGUUUCAGUCUUGCGACCGUACUCCCCAGGCGGCGAACUUAACGCGUUAGCUUCGAUACUGCGUGCCAAAUUGCACCCAACAUCCAGUUCGCAUCGUUUAGGGCGUGGACUAC
rnacentral:misc_RNA from 1 species